GACGAACGCUGGCGGCGUGCUUAACACAUGCAAGUCGAACGGAAAGGCCCUGCUUUUGUGGGGUGCUCGAGUGGCGAACGGGUGAGUAACACGUGAGUAACCUGCCCUUGACUUUGGGAUAACUUCAGGAAACUGGGGCUAAUACCGGAUAGGAGCUCCUGCUGCAUGGUGGGGGUUGGAAAGUUUCGGCGGCUGGGGAUGGACUCGCGGCUUAUCAGCUUGUUGGUGGGGUAGUGGCUUACCAAGGCUUUGACGGGUAGCCGGCCUGAGAGGGUGACCGGCCACAUUGGGACUGAGAUACGGCCCAGACUCCUACGGGAGGCAGCAGUGGGGAAUAUUGCACAAUGGGCGGAAGCCUGAUGCAGCAACGCCGCGUGCGGGAUGACGGCCUUCGGGUUGUAAACCGCUUUCGCCUGUGACGAAGCGUGAGUGACGGUAAUGGAUAAAGAAGCACCGGCUAACUACGUG
rnacentral:rRNA from 1 species